UACAUGGGGUCCGAGCGUUAUCCGGAUUUACUGGGCGUAAAGCGUGCGUAGGUGUCUUGUUAAGUCUUCGGUGAAAUCUCCGGGCCCAACCCGGAACCCGUCGAGGAAACUGGCAGGAUUGAGUCUGACAGAGGCAGAUGGAAUUUGUGGUGUAGCGGUAAAAUGACGUAGAUAUCACAAAGAACACCAGUGGCGAAGGCGAUCUGCUGGGUCAGUACAGACGCUCAUGCACGAAAGCGUGGGGAGCAAACAGG
rnacentral:rRNA from 1 species